UACAGAGGUGGCAAGCGUUGUUCGGAAUUACUGGGCGUAAAGGGCGAGUAGGUGGCCAUCUAAGUCAGACGUGAAAUCCCCCGGCUUAACCUGGGAACUGCGUCUGAUACUGGACGGCUUGAGUCCGGAAGAGGUGAGUGGAACUCCUAGUGUAGAGGUGGAAUUCGUAGAUAUUAGGAAGAACACCAGUGGCGAAGGCGGCUCACUGGUCCGGUACUGACGCUGAGGUGCGAAAGCGUGGGGAGCAAACAGG
rnacentral:rRNA from 1 species